AAAAGUCACCAGUGAGAUCCAGUCUCUGCACAAAUACACUCCCUGGCUGAGGCCACGGGUCAGAAGGGCGCUGGUGAAGUCUGCGCUCGCCCCUCUGCAGAAGCCACACCCCGCGGCCUGGCUGGAAGGCCACCGGCUGAGCAGGAGGGGAACUCGGAACUCCAGCGGGCUCCCUUCAUCCUUUCUUUCUGGAGGAAACGGUUGGGAGAUCCCAGGAUGGAAUAUGGAAUGUCACAGAAGAACCUGACUGCAUCAUGAAUGCAUGAAACAGCCUCACUGAAGAUGGUGCGGGGAAGCUGCUGACCUGGGUGGAUUUGGAAAUGAGUGGAGUCCGUGAGACUAAAGGAAGGAAGCUCUGACACAUACCAGGACGCGGAUGAACCAUGAAGACAUUAGGCUAAGUGAAAUAGUAAGCCGGAUGCAAAAGAACACAUAAUAUGAUUCCACUUACAUGGGGUCCCUGGAGGAGGCAAAUCAUGGAGAGGGAAGGCAACGUGGAACUUGGACAGAUGUCUUGAAUUGAGGAUAUAUUUGGAAAACCUUCACCUGAAGAGUCACAAAAAGUGAGGAGGACGCAGGGGAGCUCCAGCCACCUGCUGGGGUCUGCAGGGAGUGCCAGGAUGCAGGAUGGCGUGUCCCCGAAGCCUAUCACAACAAAGGGGCUCCUCAGAGCAUUUCCCAGCAGGAGGCAGAUCCGAGGACAAGACACAAAGGUGCAGUUCAGAGGAGGUUGGGUGGGUGGGCCCUUUCUUCCUGCAGCAUCUGAAAGUCAUCUGAUCAAUCAAGCUGACACCUUCUCCCACGAGGAGAAGCGAAGACUCACAUUGUCAAGGAGCCUUUGAAGUACAAAGAUCUUUUUUCAAUAUAUAGAAUUCCUACGUUACUAAGAUAAAUGGGGGAAGAGUUGACAUUUAUUGCGCAUAAUUUAAAUUCAAAUUGGC
rnacentral:lncRNA from 1 species